rnacentral:rRNA from 1 species
GACGAACGCUGGCGGCGUGCUUAACACAUGCAAGUCGAACGGAAAGGCCCUGCUUUUGUGGGGUGCUCGAGUGGCAAACGGGUGAGUAACACGUGAGUAACCUGCCCUUGACUUUGGGAUAACUUCAGGAAACUGGGGCUAAUACCGGAUAGGAGCUCCUGCUGCAUGGUGGGGGUUGGAAAGUUUCGGCGGUUGGGGAUGGACUCGCGGCUUAUCAGCUUGUUGGUGGGGUAGUGGCUUACCAAGGCUUUGACGGGUAGCCGGCCUGAGAGGGUGACCGGCCACAUAGGGACUGAGAUACGGCCCAGACUCCUACGGGAGGCAGCAGUGGGGAAUAUUGCACAAUGGGCGGAAGCCUGAUGCAGCAACGCCGCGUGCGGGAUGACGGCCUUCGGGUUGUAAACCGCUUUCGCCUGUGACGAAGCGUGAGUGACGGUAAUGGGUAAAGAAGCACCGGCUAACUACGUG